UACAGAGGGUGCGAGCGUUACUCGGAAUUACUGGGCGUAAAGCGUGCGUAGACGGUUAUUUAAGUCGGGUGUGAAAGCCCCGGGCUCAACCUGGGAAUUGCAUUCGAGACUGAAUAGCUAGGGUACGGUAGAGGGAAGUCGAAUUUCCGGUGUAGCGGUGAAAUGCGUAGAUAUCGGAAGGAACAUCAGUGGCGAAAGCGACUUCCUGGACCAGUACCGACGUUCAGGCACGAAAGCGUGGGGAGCAAACAGG
rnacentral:rRNA from 1 species